CCCGCUCAAUCCGCCAUCGGUGGGCUAGUAUGUGUGUACUGCGUUCUACCUCUAUCUGUAUAUCACACAAAAGAGUCAUUUUUUUUUCUUUUGUUGAUCAGCUUUCACCGGGCCCCAGAGGUACCCGGUGGCACGGCGAUAACGUGUCCUGGCGAACGAAAGGAACAGCGGAGAACUUCCGGCCUUUUAUCUCGUGCCUUGCGGAGGGGGGGGGCGUGUAAGUCCUGAUAGGCGCUCCUUCUCUUUCAUUUGAUUUCUCUCGUCUUUUGCCCAUCCUUGUGAUAUCAUCGGCCCGCUUUUCACGCAAAACACCACACCGUAGCGCCGGGGUAUGGAUGAAAAGGGGGCUCCCCACAGACCAACCGGUCCCUUUCCUUCCUUGCUUGAGGGGCUAGUGCGUGUUUUUGGCAUAGCCUUACCUCCGUCGCUGCUGUAAGAGGCACCGCCACACAUUGUUCUACUCUUUCUCUCUCUGAUCGUCUCUUUGGCUUGGUCGACCGCCCGUGCCUCUGUUCCCGUGUAGAUUCCCCUGCCGUGCCCUGCCCUACCCCCCCCCCUUUCCCAUCACACCAUCGUCACCGCAAUCCCGUGCCCGCGUUGUUGGUUCUACUCCCCGACUUCUUUGCUCGCUCGCGCUACGACGUUUUCUUUUGCACCAUCCUUAUUUGUUCGUGGUCGUCGUUCGCUGGUUCUCGUCGGUCCCGUGGACAGCGUCUCGACCCCCCCUCCCCUCCCUCCCUCCCUCCCCCCUUCUCUUCUCUGUGUGUGUGCGCGUUGCUGUUGUUGUGCAGGCAUCCAUUGAUUUCACUUGUUUUGUCCUUUUGCUGUUUCUCUCCGGCUUUUCCGCGUCGGGCUCCUCUUCAGAGUGAUCUGCUACGUUGUUUUCGGACUCUGCCGCUCACCCUCUCCUCACUUGCGCUCUUUGCUGCUGUUGUCGUCGCCUCCUCUAGGUAGUCCUUGCUCUUCCCCACCCCCCACCCUGGCCCACCCACCUUUACCAGCGCACGCUCCUUCUCCUGUUUGGUGUUGUUGUUGUUGUUUUUUUUGUUGUUGUUCUUCUUUUUUUGUCAUUCUCGACUGGGCUGGCGCUGUGUGGCAUUGGCCCCUCUCCGUUGCCGUUCUCUGCCCGUUCCUCCUUCUCCUGCCACUGAAGGGCGCAACAUUGCGGCGCGUUUCUUUUUUUCGCCUUCUCUCUUUUUUUUCGUGGUUCAACCAACACGCAUCGGCGAAGUGCGGCGUGCCGUCCGUUUCUCAACGUCAUCCCACGCCUAAGCAGUACUCCCUGGCGUUCGAGGAGUCGCGUAGACACACCUCUGUCUCACUCCGCGCCCUCCACAACACAAGCACGGCGGCAGGCAGUCCGCGAUGGAGCGGCAGUCGAGCAUGAUCAGUGCGCCGUUCAAGGCGCAUCGUCGCCGCUCUGCCAUCACCAUCAUCGUGCCAGGCGAGGAGACGAACCCGUUUCAGAAGGACAGCGUCAAAACGUCCCACCUGAAGGAUCGCAGCACCUUCGAGAGCUUCAAGGCGAAGCCGCGCUGCCCCACUCCCGACUCGAACGGCGCUGCCCACGAUGGCGAGCACGUACAUGGGCUGCCUACAGGCGCGGGCGCUAGAAUGCCGCACCUCAACGGCAGCAAUGCCAUGGGAACGAAGAACGGGGUUUUGCAUCACAGCAAGCCACGAAACACUGCUCAGACGCCAGUGCCUCAAGGCGAUGGCACUCCCGCUCUCUUGCCGCAAGUGCCCCCUUCACCGAAGCAGCAGCGACAGCCGCAAAGUCAGGCACUGCGCGGUGCGGUCUCGAAUCGACUCGUAGAUAUGCACCUCUUUCCUCUGGUCCCAUCAUCCACAGCCACGUCAAUACGAAGGGCGGGUGCCAGGCACGAAGUCAACCCAGUCGUCGUAGCCUCUGACCUUUCGCAUGCGCCGCUGCUCGGCGCCACCACGACAGAGGACGACGCUACGCGGCGCCUCGGUGCACCUGUUAGCGACAUAAGUGACAGCCGCCGUCCCGUCGCCGCGAACAACAUCGCUUUCAGCAGUGCGCGUGUUUUGUCCUCCUCCGAUGAAGUGCCCCCGCGGACGAGCCGGAGAAUUCGCUCCAGCAGUCGACUCCCGCUGCAUCCCGCCACCGCCCACGGAGCGACGGCCGGCGUGAGCGGCAACAGCAAAAGCAACAGCGGCGCCGCCCCCACGAGUGCUCGCCCACUGCUGGUCUCCGCGGGCUCCACAGCUCCAAACAUGGUCACCACCAUCGGUGUCAACGGCACCCGCAGCUGUCUGUCAUCCCCACAACUCCCGUCGGCCCCGCCGCUGCAGCCGGGCACCAUGUUUAACGCCGCAGCGCAACGGCAAUCAUUCCCGUCCAGCUACGCAAGCAUGCCUUCCGACGCCACGGACUCGUCUCGAGGCGACUAUCAGGGCGUCAGUUACUCGAGCCCCAGCCGUCGCUCGACGAUGCCACAACCUAGAGUGCCGCACGGCAUCAACCUCACGCGUUUCCCGCGCCCGCCUGUCCGGCGUCGACAGCAAGAGUCGCUGGCGGCCAGCUCAAGGAAUGAGAUGCGGGAAGCGGAGUCGAAGUUUGAAUCCGACGGACUUUUCUCGCCCUUCUCAACGCGCAGCAUUAGCGAGCGCGGCUGCAGCGAUGACUGCGGCUCCAGCUCGGGGAACACGGAGUACAGUAAUUCGUCCUCCGUGGUGGGUGACCUGUCCGUCGUGAUCAGCGACUCCGAUCUGGCCAGUGCUGUGAGUCUCGCGUCUGCAUUCGCAGCACGGGCACCUCUGCGGCAACGCUCAGAGUCGCCGGUGGCUGACCUCUCAAACCUCCUUGCACCAGGCGUGGCAGCCCAAAGUGCCGCCGUGCCCCAAAAGGGAUCACCAGUGGCGUCCCCACCGACAUCUCCGCUGUCGGAUGUCCGCGCUGCCAACGGAAGCCGUUCCAGCAACAGCAAGGAAGCGGCGGAACAUCAUGCGGAUAGCACCAGCUCUGUGGACGUGGCCGAUCUCCCAUCCACGACAGACUUUCCCGUGCUGAUGGAGCCGCCUAGGUUUCUCGCAGCAGCGAGUGAGCGGCAGGGGCAGCCCACGACAGUUUCCAGGCGCCCCCUCAGCCCCAACAGGGGCAGCAAGUCAGUCGAUGGGGUACGGGAAGAGCCGAGCGACGCCUCUAUCAGCAACUUCGGUCUGCUGCCAAACGAUGACAGUACCGCCCCCAACGUCGUCAUAUCUUCUUCACCGACCACUAAAGCCGCACCGGCAUCACCAAUGUCACCGAAGCUCACGCAUGUCCAGGAGCGGACGCGUCGCGCGCGCUGCAGGACUGUGCCCUUACCGUCUCCAGUCGACCUGAACAGUCUAGUCUUGUGGAAAGAGAGCGAGCGGUCUGUUCCCUCGCCGCUGGCGUCUUCCUCCGAGCACCGUGCCAACUCAGCCUUGCGAUCUGGCUCGACAAAGGGCGGCAGCAGCGGUGGAGGCCGUGCGCAUGACGGCGAAGGCGGCAAGGGCAGCGCCGCAGCCCAUCUAGAGGCUGAUUCGAACCUCCAGGAAACAGUGGCAAAGCCGAAUACGAGAACGAGCAGCUGCGGACACACCAGCCUAUUCCAGACACACAAACAAAACGAGGACGACGCCGUUGACGCCACGGGCGACUCCACCCUGGAACUGAGCGCAUGGCGCACUGGCAGUCGAGGGCCUGCAAGCGGCCCACCUGCCCAGGUCGCACAGGCGGCCUCUGCCGUGGCGUACUUGACAGCAGCCGAGAAGGAGAGGUGGUCCGUGACACAGUCGCUGAGCAUCGACGCCGACCUCUUUUCCUUCUCUCAGCUUCCCCCAGAGAAGCGGGGCAGUGUGGUGGCAAAGCUGCGAAACAUGUUCGAAAGCAGCGCGGAGAAGCAUCCGCGCAGCAGCAGCAGUCAAGCGGGGUCGCUGAUAGCCACUCCAUCACCAAAGGACCAGGGCAGCCCAUUGCGGCACGUGAGCUCCGUCAACGGCAGCAACAAUGGCAACAGCAGCAGCGCCCCCAAGAGCAGCCCGAAGCGGAAAACAGAAGAUGUUUCGAGGAAGGCGCCGCCUUCUUUAUGGAAGGAGGUGAGAGGCAGCAGCCAGAGGCCAACAUCGCCGCAGUGUCGCAAGUCACCGACAGCUGCUCCGCCGGUGGCGAACUGCAGCUCACCUCUCCUCUUUCCGCGAUCUCCCACUGUGGCGACGUCUGAGAAGGGGACUCUGCCGCCGUCAACGAGCACAGUCAAGUCGGGCAGGGUAUCCGGUACUUAUCCCCAGAGCUCUCAUACAGACUCGGACUGCACCGCGGCAGGCAACUCAGCCACACCACCUCCAAGGACUCGCCAUGCGAAAAUGGAUCUGCAGCACGAGGUCUCAUCUGUGAAAAACUCUCUCGGCAUGUUCUCAUACAUUUCCCCGCAGGCCAGCGACCCCGGGUUCUCCCUCGCAUGCUUCAAGGCCUCUAAUGUCUCUGCGGACACCGUAAACAUGUUCGACCGCGGCGAUUUUUGAUGCGCGCUGGAAGGCGCUCACACGCAUGAAUGUCUCGCGUGGGGAGGGAGCGGGGGGCGCGUGCAUGUGCUCUCUGCUGUCAACACAUGUAGAAGGCGUUGCUCGGAGAUGCCUCGAGGGGUAGAAUAACUGAGAAAGGACGUCUGAUUCUCCCUCCUUGUUUCGCAGAGUUGUCUCACGCUUUUUCCUUUGUUUGUCUUCUUUCCUCCCCCCUCCCCCUCCUCCUCUCUGUCCAUCUCCUCCAUUGUCUCGGGGCCUCCAUUCUUGGUCUCUACGUGCACUCAUUUUCUCGGCACCCUUUCGCUGCACUUUAUGUUUUUUUUUCUUCUUUGCGUACGAAUACAAGUAUGUGUUUGGUCUUCAUCCCCCACACAAACACACGCGCACGCCUCUCUCUCUCUCUUGCACUCUUCUGCGCUGCGUGAAAGACUCGACCUCUUUUUUCUUGUCUCUUGCUGUGAUUCGGAUUCGCCCUACACUCUCACACAGCCUUCAUUCAUUUCUUUACUCGCCUCUGUUUUUCUUCUCUCCGUCAUGGCGCACCUCUCUGGCCAUUUUGUUUUGGUCUGUCCCUUGCCCUCAUCGCUGUUCCUUUUUCACAUUGCCACGCCUAUCCACAUUCUACUCUUUCUACGGUGUUGCUGUUUUUUGGAUGGGGUCUCUUUUUCAUGUGCAUGUCCCUCCUUGUAUCGCCUGCGUGUGUGUGUGUGUGUGUGUGUGUACGUCAUGGCUUUGAGCCUGCAUAGUUACUGUCUCCAGCGCAACCUAAAGUGCUCGCUUUCUCACAAGUAGCUCUUCCUACCCCCUCUCGUCGUUGUGGUUGUUACUCUUGUUGUUGCUGCUCACCUAUUUGUUUCCAGAAAGGCAGCAUCUGCCUCUGCCCCUCCCUCCCUUCCCUCUGUAUGCGUUUAAGUGGAUAAUUUGUGUGUGUUAUACAAGACGAUCGACGGCCGCUUUUCUUUUCUGGCUUUCUCCCUAUUCAGCCUCCCACCACUGUCCCUCGCGCACAUCUAUCUAGAUGCAGAUAUAUAUUUUGUCGCUUGCUUGCUCCCUCCUCCACCCCCUCCUUUCGGAUUGUUGUGCUCCUCUCAUUGUGUUUGCAUGUGCCCAGUCUCUCCUCCACGUGCGUCCUCGCAAUGGGGAACUCACCGCUCUUACUUUCCUCACACGCUUUUCUGGAUGACUGUAUGUGCAAGAUUCAUUUACCGCUUGCCUUUUUUCUUUUCUUUUCGGCCCCUUCCACGCCUCGUUCUCAUGUUCCCCGUUAUCUGGAGUGCUGGCUUGUGUCAUUCCCCAAGCUCCCCCUCUCUGUCUUUCAGCCUCCUUAUUCUUCCUCUCCUCGAUCUCUCCCGACAUAUUUGGCAGCACCAGAUGUGCCUCUGCUCCUCAUUGUCUCCGAUGUUCGUUUUCCUUCGUCUGUUCUCCGAUUGCUUCCCAUGCCCCCCCCCUCUCUUCUCACCCCACCUCCUCCUUCCACGGCAAGGCUGCGACGGCCUGUGCGCGCAGAUGCGCACUUUCCAGCUCCGAUUCCGAAUUCGCACUCUCGUCCUCCCUCCUCCUUCCGCUUCGCUAGCGCGCCCUUUGCCCGCUCUGCUCGUCGUUUUUUUUUUCGCCGCUGCGCACGUCUCCCUCCUCCUUUGGGAUGUGGGGGGUAGCGCACCUCCGUGCGUGCUAUCUCAGCGUCCACUGCACCCACUCUCUGCGUGGGGCGGCCAGUUAGCCCACCCACCCCUCUAUUCCUGCAAAAUGUCGAGCCACUUCUGCCGGUCGCAUGGCCUAGUGCCUACGCCGUAGGGGAGGCCAGAGCCAUCUACCGCUGCUGAUGUCGGCGGUCAGGGCCUGGGUGGCGUUGCGUCGUAGCGGUCUGCGACAGUGAAGACGUAUGUGCCCCGUUUAUAUAAUAGGCAAAGUACCGACUUGGCUCCAGCGCGUCUCACCCGUCCCUCACACUGCCUGCUGGUGGAGGGAGGCUGAGCCACCCCGAGGGGGGAUGCGCCAGGUGGCGGCCAGCACAGUGGGCGCGGCUGUGAGGCGACCUACUCAGCGGGGGUGUGCAGAGCUCGAGGCAGGGGGUCGUGCUCUCAGAUGGCUGAGUUGGCACAUGGCUGUAACGCGUGCGCCUACGGAUGCUUCGCACCACGCCGAUGGGGGCCUGUGGCGGGCCGGGUGGGGGUGUAGAGUGGAGGGUGAACCCAUGUUGUAUGCCAGCGAAAUGAACGCUGGGGGCGAAGAGAAAAUCGAAGUGCCGCUGAUGCGGGCAGUUCCGCGGUGUCGUCGCUUCUGAAUAAUGCGGCGAAGAAGUAAGUGGCAAUCAUGAACUGUCUUAUUGCCACGGUUUCGAUGCCGUCAUGAAGACUUGUCUGGCGGGAGACGAUGCGCUCAACGUGUUUCCGGCAGAGUGGUGGGCGGCCUUCUGCGAGACAUUGCUUCUGUGCAGCGUCGCCUCGUACGGUUGUUUGCCUGCCGCAGCCCCCGUAGCACAGGAAAGUGCCAAGCCUGUGCACGCGGUCGCUGGACGUCUUUUGCAACGAUGACGCUGCCAUUCGUCGUGAAACUGCAGACGUUCCCCUCCGCUGAACGCUGCCCAGACGUGUUUCUUCGGUUCUGCUCUGUCACACCUUUUUUCUUUUUCCCGCCUCGUAUUUCCUUCGCGCCUCAUGAAG
rnacentral:misc_RNA from 1 species